GAGAUAAUAGUAUAAUUUGUAUGUUUUAUUUUCGAUAGGGAGGUUGUUUAUCUUG
rnacentral:tRNA from 1 species